rnacentral:rRNA from 2 species
GACGAACCGUGCGAACGUUGUUCGGAAUCACUGGGCUUAAAGGGCGCGUAGGCGGGCUAUCAAGUCCGGGGUGAAAUCCUCCAGCUCAACUGGAGAACGGCCUCGGAUACUGAUGGUCUCGAGGAGGAUAGGGGCACACGGAACUGUGGGUGGAGCGGUGAAAUGCGUUGAUAUCCAUAGGAACUCCGGUGGCGAAAGCGGUGUGCUGGAUCCUUUCUGACGCUGAUGCGCGAAAGCCAGGGGAGCAAACGGG